GACAGAGGGUGCAAACGUUGCUCGGAAUUACUGGGCGUAAAGCGCGUGUAGGCGGACCGAUAAGUCAGGCGUGAAAUCCCCGAGCUCAACUCGGGAACUGCACCUGAAACUGCCGGUCUAGAGUGAUGGAGAGGGUAGCGGAAUUCCUGGUGUAGAAGUGAAAUUCGUAGAUAUUGGGAGGAACACCAGUGGCGAAGGCGGCUCACUGGACCGGAACUGACGCUGAGGCGCGAAAGCGUGGGGAGCAAACAGG
rnacentral:rRNA from 1 species